CUUAAUCCUCAGUGACACCCUGCUCUUUGCUCUGUGACUCACUCUCCUUAAAGUCAGUGUGAAGAGCAUCCCAUUUAUGCCUUGUUGAUUUGAAGGACAAAAAGGAAGUCUCAGUCAUCACAAGAACAAUGCCUAUUAUCCAUACAAUGGAGAAGAAAUUGAGACCUUAGAGGGGUUUGCUGCAGGUCAUAGAGGAGAGGUAAAAAUGCAGAACUGGUCCCAAAAGAAAUGAGAGGAAAACAUGUGCAAAAGCAAAGCCCUUUGAGGAAGGAAAGAUGGACACUGGGAAGGACUCUUCUCUUGUAAAAAGAUCUACAUCAGCAGGUUUUGGUGCUGAGACACACAGACCAAAUUGUACCUACUGGAUAAUUUCACAGGAAAGGAUUUUCUACGUGUAUUAUUCAGAUAGGGGGUCAAGCUAUGUUGUCAGAAGCAAAACCUUCAGCUUUAAAAUAAAUUAUGGACAUUUAUAGAACUUAUUUAUACAAGGGAAGAGUUAUAUAAGGGAAGUGAAAAAAAUCACAGAUAAAAAUUUUUUUUUUUUUUUCUAAUGUCAGCAAUGCUGUUCUUUGGUGAUUUUAACUGACUUCAGUAGCAACAGAUUUUCUGGUUUUUAUGUAUUUAUAAUUUCUCUUCAGUUUUAAAGGAAGUUGUAGAAAUUAAGUGAAGAAUCUGAACAAAUCUCUUUCCCUUAAUAAA